rnacentral:siRNA from 1 species
AAGGGUCGGCAGAAGACGUUCUGC